CCUACGGGAGGCUGCAGUGGGGAAUAUUGCACAAUGGGGGAAACCCUGAUGCAGCGACGCCGCGUGAGUGAAGAAGUAAUUCGUUAUGUAAAGCUCUAUCAGCAGGGAAGAAAAUGACGGUACCUGAGUAAGAAGCCCCGGCUAACUACGUGCCAGCAGCCGCGGUAAUACGUAGGGGGCAAGCGUUAUCCGGAUUUACUGGGUGUAAAGGGAGCGUAGACGGGAGUGCAAGGCUGGAGUGAAAGGCGGGGGGUCAACCCCCGGACUGCUCUGGAAACUGUACGGCUGGAGUGCAGGAGAGGUAAGUGGAAUUCCUAGUGUAGCGGUGAGAUGCGUAGAUAUCAGGAGGAACACCGGUGGCGAAGGCGGCCUGCUGGACUGCGACUGACGUUGAGGCCCGAAAGCGUGGGGAGCAAACAGGAUUAGAUACCCUUGUAGUC
rnacentral:rRNA from 1 species